rnacentral:ncRNA from 1 species
GUGUUAGUUCAUCUAGACAGCAGAACGGUGGCCAUGGAAGUCGAAAUCCGCUAAGGAGUGUGUAACAACUCACCUGCCGAAUGAACUAGCC